GCCAGUGUGGUGUAGUGGCUUGAGCGUUGGACUGCAACUCUGAAGGACAGGGUUUGAUUCCCAGCUUGGCCA